AUACAUAAGCAACCUGCCUAUCAGAGGGGAACAACAGCUAUAAAUGACUGCUAAUACCGCAUAUGCUCUGAACACCACAUGGUGAAAAGAGGAAAGAAGCAAUUCGCUGAUAGAUGGGCUUAUGGCUGAUUAGAUAGUUGGUGGGGUAACGGCUUACCAAGUCGACGAUCAGUAGCCGGACUGAGAGGUUGAACGGCCACAUUGGGACUGAGAUACGGCCCAGACUCCUACGGGAGGCAGCAGUCGGGAAUAUUGCGCAAUGGAGGAAACUCUGACGCAGUGACGCCGCGUGCAGGAUGAAGGUUUUCGGAUUGUAAACUGCUUUAGACAGGGAAGAACAAUGACAGUACCUGUAGAAUAAGCUCCGGCUAACUACGUGCCAGCAGCCGCGGUAAUACGUAGGGAGCGAGCGUUAUCCGGAUUUAUUGGGUGUAAAGGGUGCGUAGACGGGAAGGCAAGUUGGCUGUGAAAUCCCUCGGCUUAACUGAGGAACUGCAACCAAAACUAUCUUUCUUGAGUGCUGGAGAGGAAAGUGGAAUUCCUAGUGUAGCGGUGAAAUGCGUAGAUAUUGGGAGGAACACCAGUGGCGAAGGCGACUUUCUGGACAGUAACUGACGUUGAGGCACGAAAGUGUGGGGAG
rnacentral:rRNA from 1 species